GACGAACGCUGGCGGCGUGCUUAACACAUGCAAGUCGAACGGAAAGGCCUCUUUCGGGGGGUACUCGAGUGGCGAACGGGUGAGUAACACGUGAGUAACCUGCCCUUGACUUUGGGAUAACUUCAGGAAACUGGGGCUAAUACCGGCUAGGAGCUCCUGCUGCAUGGUGGGGGUUGGAAAGUUUCGGCGGUUGGGGAUGGACUCGCGGCUUAUCAGCUUGUUGGUGGGGUAGUGGCUUACCAAGGCUUUGACGGGUAGCCGGCCUGAGAGGGUGACCGGCCACAUUGGGACUGAGAUACGGCCCAGACUCCUACGGGAGGCAGCAGUGGGGAAUAUUGCACAAUGGGUGGAAGCCUGAUGCAGCAACGCCGUGUGCGGGAUGACGGCCUUCGGGUUGUAAACCGCUUUCGCUCAUGACGAAGCUUUGUGUGACGGUAGUGGGGAAAGAAGCACCGGCUAACUACGU
rnacentral:rRNA from 1 species